GACGAACGCUGGCGGCGUGCUUAACACAUGCAAGUCGAACGGAAAGGCCCUGCUUUUGUGGGGUGCUCGAGUGGCGAACGGGUGCGUAACACGUGAGUAACCUGCCCUUGACUUUGGGAUAACUUCAGGAAACUGGGGCUAAUACCGGAUAGGAGAUCCUGCUGCAUGGUGGGGGUUGGAAAGUUUCGGCGGUUGGGGUUGGACUGGCGGCUUAUGAGCUUGUUGGUGGGGUAGUGGCUUACCAAGGCAUUGACGGGUAGCCGGCUUGGGAGGGUGACCGGCACAAUAGGACUACGGUAGGGACCAGUCCGGCACCGGGGGCAAGGGGUGGGAAUAUUGCACAAUGGGCGGAAGCCGGAUGCAGCAACGCCGCGGUCGGGAUGACGGCCUGCGGGUUGUAAACCGCUUUCGCCUGUGACGAAGCGUGAGUGACGGUAAUGGGUAAAGAAGCACCGGCUAACUACGUG
rnacentral:rRNA from 1 species